rnacentral:tRNA from 1 species
CGGGGUAUAGCGUAGCCCGGUAUCGCGCCUGCUUUGGGAGCAGGAGGUCGUAGGUUCGAAUCCUGCUACCCCGA